CGGGGUGUAGCGCAGCCCGGUUAGCGCGCUUCGUUCGGGACGAAGAGGUCGAGAGUUCGAAUCUCUCCACCCCGACCA
rnacentral:tRNA from 1 species